GACGAACGCUGGCGGCGUGCCUAAUACAUGCAAGUAGAACGCACAGUUUAUACCAUAGCUUGCUACACCAUAAACUGUGAGUUGCGAACGGGUGAGUAACGCGUAGGUAACCUGCCUGGUAGCGGGGGAUAACUAUUGGAAACGAUAGCUAAUACCGCAUAAUAUUGAUUAUUGCAUGAUAAUUGAUUGAAAGAUGCUAUUGCAUCACUACCAGAUGGACCUGCGUUGUAUUAGCUAGUAGGUGAGGUAACGGCUCACCUAGGCGACGAUACAUAGCCGACCUGAGAGGGUGAUCGGCCACACUGGGACUGAGACACGGCCCAGACUCCUACGGGAGGCAGCAGUAGGGAAUCUUCGGCAAUGGACGAAAGUCUGACCGAGCAACGCCGCGGGAGUGAAGAAGGUUUUCGGAUCGUAAAGCUCGGUUGUAAGAGAAGAACGGGUGUGAGAGUGGAAAGUUCACACUGUGACGGUAUCUUACCAGAAAGGGACGGCUAACUACGUG
rnacentral:rRNA from 1 species